AUUGAACGCUGGCGGCAUGCUUUACACAUGCAAGUCGAACGGUAACAGGGUGCUUGCACCGCUGACGAGUGGCGAACGGGUGAGUAAUGCGUCGGAACGUGCCGAGUAGUGGGGGAUAACGCAGCGAAAGUUGUGCUAAUACCGCAUACGUACUGAGGUAGAAAGUGGGGGACCUUCGGGCCUCACGCUAUUCGAGCGGCCGACGUCUGAUUAGCUAGUAGGUGAGGUAAAGGCUCACCUAGGCGACGAUCAGUAGCGGGUCUGAGAGGAUGAUCCGCCACACUGGGACUGAGACACGGCCCAGACUCCUACGGGAGGCAGCAGUGGGGAAUUUUGGACAAUGGGCGAAAGCCUGAUCCAGCCAUGCCGCGUGUCUGAAGAAGGCCUUCGGGUUGUAAAGGACUUUUGUCGGGGAGGAAAUCCCCAGCGUUAAUACCGCUGGGGGAUGACUGUACCUGAAGAAUAAGCACCGGCUAACUACGUGCCAGCAGCCGCCGUAAGAC
rnacentral:rRNA from 1 species